rnacentral:tRNA from 1 species
CAGUUGCUGGCCGAUGCCCUGGGCGGGUCCCGGCCUUACGGGCCGGGGGUGCUGACCCAGCAGUGGAAGAUGAGCGGGUUGUACGACCGUGCAACCGA